AUUGAACGCUGGCGGCAGGCUUAACACAUGCAAGUCGAGCGGAGCGAGGGUGCUUGCACCUUAGCUUAGCGGCGGACGGGUGAGUAAUGCUUAGGGAUCUGCCUAUUAGUGGGGGACAACGUUUCGAAAGGAACGCUAAUACCGCAUACGUCCUACGGGAGAAAGCAGGGGAUCUUCGGACCUUGCGCUAAUAGAUGAGCCUAAGUCGGAUUAGCUAGUUGGUGGGGUAAAGGCCUACCAAGGCGACGAUCUGUAGCGGGGCGGAGAGGAUGAUCAGCCACACUGGGACUGAGACACGGCCCAGACUCCUACAGGAGGCAGCAGUGGGGAAUAUUGGACAAUGGGGGGAACCCUGAUCCAGCCAUGCCGCGUGUGUGAAGAAGGCCUUUUGGUUGUAAAGCACUUUAAGCGAGGAGGAGGCUUACCUAGUUAAUACCUGGGAUAAGUGGACGUUACUCGCAGAAUAAGCACCGGCUAACUCUGUGCCAGCAGCCGCAGUAAAAC
rnacentral:rRNA from 1 species